GGGGCUGUAGCUCAGCUGGUUAGAGCGCGUCACUGAUAAUGACGAGGUCGGUGGUUCGAGUCCUCCCAGCCCCACCA
rnacentral:tRNA from 1 species